rnacentral:tRNA from 1 species
GCCCGGGUGGCGGAACUGGCAGACGCAGAGGGCUUAAACCCCUCGGACCUCUCGAGGUCGUGCGGGUUCGAGUCCCGCCCCGGGCA